AGUGAACGCUGGCGGUAGGCCUAACACAUGCAAGUCGAACGGCAGCACAGUAAGAGCUUGCUCUUACGGGUGGCGAGUGGCGGACGAGUGAGGAAUACAUCGGAAUCUACUUUUUCGUGGGGGAUAGCGUAGGGAAACUUACGCUAAUACCGCAUACGACCUACGGGUGAAAGCAGGGGAUCUUCGGACCUUGCGCGAUUGAAUGAGCCGAUGUCGGAUUAGCUAGUUGGCGGGGUAAAGGCCCACCAAGGCGACGAUCCGUAGCUGGUCUGAGAGGAUGAUCAGCCACACUGGAACUGAGACACGGUCCAGACUCCUACGGGAGGCAGCAGUGGGGAAUAUUGGACAAAGGGCGAAAGCCUGAUCCAGCCAUACCGCGUGGGUGAAGAAGGCCUUCGGGUUGUAAAGCCCUUUUGUUGGGAAAGAAAAGCAGCAGGUUAAUACCCCGCUGUUCUGACGGUACCCAAAGAAUAAGCACCGGCUAACUUCGUG
rnacentral:rRNA from 1 species